AUUUAUAUAGUUUAUAAAAACAUUACAUUUUCAUUGUAAAAAUAAGAUUUUCUUUAUAAAUA
rnacentral:tRNA from 1 species